rnacentral:rRNA from 1 species
UACGAAGGGGGCUAGCGUUGCUCGGAAUGACUGGGCGUAAAGGGCGCGUAGGCGGCGCAGCUUAUGCAGGCGUGAAAUUCCUGGGCUCAACCUGGGGACUGCGCUUGAUACGGCUGUGCUUGAGGAUGGAAGAGGCUCGCGGAAUUCCCAGUGUAGAGGUGAAAUUCGUAGAUAUUGGGAAGAACACCGGUGGCGAAGGCGGCGAGCUGGUCCAUUACUGACGCUGAGGCGCGACAGCGUGGGGAGCAAACAGG